rnacentral:rRNA from 1 species
GAUGAACGCUGGCGGCGUGCCUAAUACAUGCAAGUCGAGCGAACGGACGAGAAGCUUGCUUCUCUGAUGUUAGCGGCGGACGGGUGAGUAACACGUGGAUAACCUACCUAUAAGACUGGGAUAACCUCGGGAAACCGGAGCUAAUCCCGGAUAAUAUUUUGAACCGCAUGGUUCAAAAGUGAAAGACGGUCUUGCUGUCACUUCUAGAUGGAUCCGGGCUGCAUUAGCUGGUUGUUAAGGUCAAGGCUUACCAAGGCAACGAUGCCUGGCCGACGUGACAGGGUGGUCGGCCACACUGGAACUGAGACACGGUCCAGACUCCUACGGGAGGCAGCAGUAGGGAAUCUUCCGCAAUGGGCGAAAGCCUUACGGAGCAACGCCGCGUGAGUGAUGGAGGUCUUCGGAUCGUAAAACUCUGUUAUUAGGGAAGAACAUAUGUGUAAGUAACUGUGCACAUCUUGACGGUACCUGAUCAGAAAGCCACGGCUAACUACGUG